AAGACCUUGCGCUUUUGGAGCGGCCGAUGUCUGAUUAGCUAGUUGGUGAGGUAAAGGCUUACCAAGGCCUCGAUCAGUAGCUGGUCUGAGAGGACGACCAGCCACACUGGGACUGAGACACGGCCCAGACUCCUACGGGAGGCAGCAGUGGGGAAUUUUGGACAAUGGGGGCAACCCUGAUCCAGCCAUGCCGCGUGAGUGAAGAAGGCCUUCGGGUUGUAAAGCUCUUUCAGCCGGAACGAAAAGGUUACGGUUAAUACCCGUGACUAAUGACGGUACCGGAAGAAGAAGCACCGGCUAACUACGUGCCAGCAGCCGCGGUAAUACGUAGGGUGCGAGCGUUAAUCGGAAUUACUGGGCGUAAAGCGUGCGCAGGCGGUUUUGUAAGUCAGAUGUGAAAUCCCCGGGCUUAACCUGGGAACU
rnacentral:rRNA from 1 species